ACAAACAAUUUAGCCAUUGUUCUGCAGAAGCCAAAGUGUGGGCAAACCACAUCUGACAACACUGUGCUGACCUGCCUGCUAACUACAAUUCUGUGAGUGUGUGCUCAAAGCAUUGAGCUGAAUAUGAUCAUUUAACUAUUGCACAACACAGGGCAUCUGGUCAACCGUUAAUCCCUCCGUCACGUCGGUUAGUGCCAAGACGCUUGAAGCCUGCGAGUGUAGUUUUUAAUAAUCAAAUCAAUAGUUUAGAAUUACUUAGGAAACAAGCAGGGAUUAGACAAUCUAUGACUGAUUAAUCCCCCUUUAGAUGUUUUUAAACUAAAUAGAAAUAUUGCUGUAAACUGAGAAAUUGGUUGCAGGUCAAACAAAACAUGACAUCUGAAGGCACCACCAAUCAUGAUCUAAUUAACUGAGAAAACAUUUUGCACAUUAAUUAAUAGUGAAAGCCUUAUAAUUGAAAGCAAUGUGGGUUGAAUUUGGGUUGGUCAUUGUACUGAUGCUCUUGAAAUAGCAAAUGUAUUCAUUUGUGUCACAAACAUCACAGAACCAAAAGGCCGUGGUGUAAAAUCCGCCUGCUGACCUUCGCCUCCUCUCCUCGCCGCCCUUUUGGAGGCUGCGUACGGUGUCCUGCAGGCCUCGGAUCUUCGCCUUCUUCUCAUUCAGCACCUGCACAAAACGUUGCUGCUGUCCUGGCAAGCCGCACAGCUGUUUUCUCCUCCGCUGGCGAACCUGAACAUGUGUGUCAUCAGCUAGCCAGACCAUAAGGUCAAUCCCAUGGAGAAGGGGGACGUAGGUGUAGUAGGACGCAGCCAAAAGAAAACAGCCCCAGUGAAAACGAUACCAAAACUCACUGUGGGCACCGAGGACACAAAGAUGUCCUUAUCGCGCCGUCCAACACAUCGAACCAAUCAUUUAUUCCCAAGGAUUAGAGGACAAUAACCCAUUUAACCAAUAAACGACUACAAAACGGAGAUAUUGCAGUUCAAACCCACUGUAUUUCAUACUAAUUAAGGUCACUUUCAUUCAGUCCAGCUAUAAUUUCCACAAGGUCAUGCAACAAAGUGUAAUGAUCAAAUGUGCUUGUCUUUCUUUCUCUCAAUCUGAAAAUAACGAUUGUGUCUCAGGGAAGAACAGGGAAGUGUGUGGGUUGACGGCAAAGACGACAAAGAGACAGUGUUCAAGGGUGAGUGCUGGUGCCCACUACGGGAAGACUGGGCAUCCAGUGGACAUGAACUUGUCCCAUCAACUCCCUCAUCUGACGUGCAGGGGCGUGAGGCCAGAUAAGGAGCAGGAAGUGAGGGGCGACAGCGGUCAGUCUGUCCCUGAUAAGGUGAACAUUCUCAUCAACAAGGGUGCAAUACUAUCACAGAUGGAGGAAAAUACUUUCUUGUUUAGAGUAUCAGGUUAUUCAUAACCAUUAUUCAGGUUAUUUUACAUUGUUGAAGUUGCUGGUGGUGGACAGGGGGGGAUUGAGACUUGAUAAUGGGGGAUUGAUU